rnacentral:tRNA from 1 species
GAGGGUAUAGCUCAGUGGUAGAGCACCUGCUUAGCAUGUGGAAGGUCCUGGGUUCAAUCCUCAGCACCUUUG